rnacentral:sRNA from 1 species
AGAUUCCAUGCAUUGGGUCCAAUUUACUACAGAGAUUCAAAUGGAGCUAUUUUAGUUUAUGACAUAACAGAUGAAGAUUCUUUUCAGAAGGUAAAAAACUGGGUCAAAGAAUUACGGAAAAUGUUGGGAAAUGAAAUCUGUUUAUGUAUAGUUGGUAAGCAUCAUUACUUUUUUCUAAAAAAAAGUCCUCUGUUUCCUUAAUGUUUUAUUGAAGACAAGUAAUUUUUGUUUUAAAGUUAUAUGAGAAAGGAAGAAUGGCAUAUUAAUAUAAAUAUUUUAGAAUAAUUUAGGAUUUAGCCUGGUGCGGUGGCUCAUGCCUGUAAUUCCAGCGCCUUGGGAGGCCAAAGUGGGUGGAUCACUUGAGGUCAGGAGUUCAAGACCAGCCUGGUCAACAUGGCAAAACCCUGUCUCUAAAAAAAAUAC